CUAAGGUCCAGCAGUGCCUUAAAUACAGGACUUUUAAAAUAAAUAUUUGUUGGCGAAAUUAAAGAAGGGUUUGGAGACGAGAGAAAGAAGAAAACACAAUAUGGAGUUCUGGAGGUCCAGUUAGUCCAGAAGAGUAGCCCUGGAUUUUCCUCAGCUCUGCGAGUGACUAGGUAAAAAACCCCUGAGGAUAGAGAGGUUAAAGGACACACACAGGGUCACACAACCAGCAAGUGGAGAAUCCAGAUUUAAACAGAGUUUCAUCCAACACUGAGCAUGAUGCUAUAAAGAUCACCCAUGGAAAGAAGGUAGCUGGUUUU